GUGACGAUACCAUAGCGCCGCGGAUSUUCGGUUGGCCCCGGAURACCGGCUUCGGUCGGUGAGUAGAGCCGUUCGUGACAGGGCUGGGGUGCGGCCGGAUGAUGGUCGCCCCUCUCCUAUCUCGCACCGCAUGUUUGUGGAGAACCUGGUGCUAAAUCACUUGCAGACGACCUGAUUCUGGGUCAGGGUUUCGUACGUAGCAGAGCAGCUCCCUCGCUGCGAUCU
rnacentral:rRNA from 1 species